UUAAGCGACUAAGCGUACACGGUGGAUGCCCUGGCAGUCAGAGGCGAUGAAGGACGUGCUAAUCUGCGAUAAGCGUCGGUAAGGUGAUAUGAACCGUUAUAACCGGCGAUUUCCGAAUGGGGAAACCCAGUGUGUUUCGACACACUAUCAUUAACUGAAUCCAUAGGUUAAUGAGGCGAACCGGGGGAACUGAAACAUCUAAGUACCCCGAGGAAAAGAAAUCAACCGAGAUUCCCCCAGUAGCGGCGAGCGAACGGGGAGCAGCCCAGAGCCUGAAUCAGUGUGUGUGUUAGUGGAAGCGUCUGGAAAGGCGCGCGAUACAGGGUGACAGCCCCGUACACAAAAAUGCACAUGCUGUGAGCUCGAUGAGUAGGGCGGGACACGUGGUAUCCUGUCUGAAUAUGGGGGGACCAUCCUCCAAGGCUAAAUACUCCUGACUGACCGAUAGUGAACCAGUACCGUGAGGGAAAGGCGAAAAGAACCCCGGCGAGGGGAGUGAAAAAGAACCUGAAACCGUGUACGUACAAGCAGUGGGAGCACGCUUAGGCGUGUGACUGCGUACCUUUUGUAUAAUGGGUCAGCGACUUAUAUUCUGUAGCAAGGUUAACCGAAUAGGGGAGCCGAAGGGAAACCGAGUCUUAACUGGGCGUUAAGUUGCAGGGUAUAGACCCGAAACCCGGUGAUCUAGCCAUGGGCAGGUUGAAGGUUGGGUAACACUAACUGGAGGACCGAACCGACUAAUGUUGAAAAAUUAGCGGAUGACUUGUGGCUGGGGGUGAAAGGCCAAUCAAACCGGGAGAUAGCUGGUUCUCCCCGAAAGCUAUUUAGGUAGCGCCUCGUGAAUUCAUCUCCGGGGGUAGAGCACUGUUUCGGCAAGGGGGUCAUCCCGACUUACCAACCCGAUGCAAACUGCGAAUACCGGAGAAUGUUAUCACGGGAGACACACGGCGGGUGCUAACGUCCGUCGUGAAGAGGGAAACAACCCAGACCGCCAGCUAAGGUCCCAAAGUCAUGGUUAAGUGGGAAACGAUGUGGGAAGGCCCAGACAGCCAGGAUGUUGGCUUAGAAGCAGCCAUCAUUUAAAGAAAGCGUAAUAGCUCACUGGUCGAGUCGGCCUGCGCGGAAGAUGUAACGGGGCUAAACCAUGCACCGAAGCUGCGGCAGCGACACUAUGUGUUGUUGGGUAGGGGAGCGUUCUGUAAGCCUGUGAAGGUGUACUGUGAGGUAUGCUGGAGGUAUCAGAAGUGCGAAUGCUGACAUAAGUAACGAUAAAGCGGGUGAAAAGCCCGCUCGCCGGAAGACCAAGGGUUCCUGUCCAACGUUAAUCGGGGCAGGGUGAGUCGACCCCUAAGGCGAGGCCGAAAGGCGUAGUCGAUGGGAAACAGGUUAAUAUUCCUGUACUUGGUGUUACUGCGAAGGGGGGACGGAGAAGGCUAUGUUGGCCGGGCGACGGUUGUCCCGGUUUAAGCGUGUAGGCUGGUUUUCCAGGCAAAUCCGGAAAAUCAAGGCUGAGGCGUGAUGACGAGGCACUACGGUGCUGAAGCAACAAAUGCCCUGCUUCCAGGAAAAGCCUCUAAGCAUCAGGUAACAUCAAAUCGUACCCCAAACCGACACAGGUGGUCAGGUAGAGAAUACCAAGGCGCUUGAGAGAACUCGGGUGAAGGAACUAGGCAAAAUGGUGCCGUAACUUCGGGAGAAGGCACGCUGAUAUGUAGGUGAGGUCCCUCGCGGAUGGAGCUGAAAUCAGUCGAAGAUACCAGCUGGCUGCAACUGUUUAUUAAAAACACAGCACUGUGCAAACACGAAAGUGGACGUAUACGGUGUGACGCCUGCCCGGUGCCGGAAGGUUAAUUGAUGGGGUUAGCGCAAGCGAAGCUCUUGAUCGAAGCCCCGGUAAACGGCGGCCGUAACUAUAACGGUCCUAAGGUAGCGAAAUUCCUUGUCGGGUAAGUUCCGACCUGCACGAAUGGCGUAAUGAUGGCCAGGCUGUCUCCACCCGAGACUCAGUGAAAUUGAACUCGCUGUGAAGAUGCAGUGUACCCGCGGCAAGACGGAAAGACCCCGUGAACCUUUACUAUAGCUUGACACUGAACAUUGAGCCUUGAUGUGUAGGAUAGGUGGGAGGCUUAGAAGUGUGGACGCCAGUCUGCAUGGAGCCGACCUUGAAAUACCACCCUUUAAUGUUUGAUGUUCUAACGUUGACCCGUAAUCCGGGUUGCGGACAGUGUCUGGUGGGUAGUUUGACUGGGGCGGUCUCCUCCUAAAGAGUAACGGAGGAGCACGAAGGUUGGCUAAUCCUGGUCGGACAUCAGGAGGUUAGUGCAAUGGCAUAAGCCAGCUUGACUGCGAGCGUGACGGCGCGAGCAGGUGCGAAAGCAGGUCAUAGUGAUCCGGUGGUUCUGAAUGGAAGGGCCAUCGCUCAACGGAUAAAAGGUACUCCGGGGAUAACAGGCUGAUACCGCCCAAGAGUUCAUAUCGACGGCGGUGUUUGGCACCUCGAUGUCGGCUCAUCACAUCCUGGGGCUGAAGUAGGUCCCAAGGGUAUGGCUGUUCGCCAUUUAAAGUGGUACGCGAGCUGGGUUUAGAACGUCGUGAGACAGUUCGGUCCCUAUCUGCCGUGGGCGCUGGAGAACUGAGGGGGGCUGCUCCUAGUACGAGAGGACCGGAGUGGACGCAUCACUGGUGUUCGGGUUGUCAUGCCAAUGGCACUGCCCGGUAGCUAAAUGCGGAAGAGAUAAGUGCUGAAAGCAUCUAAGCACGAAACUUGCCCCGAGAUGAGUUCUCCCUGACCCUUUAAGGGUCCUGAAGGAACGUUGAAGACGACGACGUUGAUAGGCCGGGUGUGUAAGCGCAGCGAUGCGUUGAGCUAACCGGUACUAAUGAACCGUGAGGCUUAACCUU
rnacentral:rRNA from 1 species